CCUACGGGGUGCAGCAGUGAGGAAUAUUGGUCAAUGGACGCAAGUCUGAACCAGCCAUGCCGCGUGCAGGAAGACGGCUCUAUGAGUUGUAAACUGCUUUUGUACGAGGGUAAACGCAGAUACGUGUAUCUGUCUGAAAGUACCGUACGAAUAAGGAUCGGCUAACCCCGCGCCAGCAGCCGCGGCAAUACGGAGGAUGCAAGCGUUACCCGGAUUUAUUGGGCUUAAAGGGUGCGUAGGCGGUCGGAUAAGUUAGAGGUGAAAUCCCGAGGCUCAACGUCGGAAUUGCCUCUGAUACUGUUCGGCUAGAGAGUAGGUGCGGUAAGCGGAAUGUAUGGUGUAGCGGUGAAAUGCUUAGAGAUCAUACAGAACACCGAUUGCGAAGGCAGCUUAC
rnacentral:rRNA from 1 species